rnacentral:ncRNA from 1 species
GAGAGCCGUAUGAUUGGAAACUUUCAAGUACGGUUUGGUGACGAGAAUUGAAAAACCUACCUCAGUAAUGCGGAAAGGCGUUUGGUUCUUAGUCGAC